AUUGAACGCUGGCGGCAGGCCUAACACAUGCAAGUCGAGCGGAGCGGCGGACGGGUGCGUAAUGCCUAGGAAUCUGCAUGGGAGCGGGGGAUGACGUCCGGAAACGGGCGCUAAUACCGCAUACUAUCAGAUGAGCCUAGGCCGGAUUAGCUAGUUGGUGGGGUAAAGGCAUACCAAGGCGAAGAUCCGUAACUGGUCGGAGAGGAUGAUCAGUCACACUGUGACUGAGACACGGCCCAGACUCCUACGGGAGUCAGCAGUGGGGAAUAUUGGACAAUGGGCGAAAGCCUGAUCCAGCCAUGCCGCGUGUGUGAAGAAGGUCUUCGGAUUGUAAAGCACUUUAAGUUGGGAGGCGUUACCAGCAGAAUAAGCACCGGCUAACUUCGUGCCAGCCGCCGCGGUAAUAC
rnacentral:rRNA from 1 species